UAAGACAGAAGAAGAUGAGGAAAAUUGUGGCUCAUCAUGUUUAAUGCUCAAAACCAGUGAGGAUUGAGAACAGAUCUUACAAACAGAAGGGUCAAGAAGGA